AACUGAUACUACCUGCGGGAACCUGCGGAAGGAUCAUUACUGAAGUGAUUUGGGGAUGUUGCUGGCCCUCUCUCAAGGGGGGGCACUGUGCACUCCUCGAAACAAUUCACAAUUUCCAUCACACCCCUUGUGCACACCUUGUAGGCACCCAAACCCACCUCCGGGUGGUGGGGUCCUAUGUAUUCCCUCAUCUCACACUCUGUUGAAUGGUGCCAUGGGACGCAUCUAAAGGAUUAUUUG
rnacentral:misc_RNA from 1 species